rnacentral:ncRNA from 1 species
CGAUAAGCAACGACGGGAAUCAGUAGUGCAUGCGAUUUUUUCAGAGAGCCGGUGGGUGCUGCGAACCGGUAAAAUCCAUGGAUGAAUCCAUCCCCGAGCUGCGGGAAUGUCACAAUUUCCGCCGGUAUCCUGCCGUUAUCAGGUCCUGAGGUGUAUGCACAAUGUGCAUAAACCAGGGUGGUAACGCGGGCAAGCACCCGUCCCUGAU